UGGGGAAUUUUGGACAAUGGGCGAAAGCCUGAUCCAGCAAUGCCGCGUGUGUGAAGAAGGCCUUCGGGUUGUAAAGCACUUUUGUCCGGAAAGAAAUCCUUGGCUCUAAUACAGUCGGGGGAUGACGGUACCGGAAGAAUAAGCACCGGCUAACUACGUGCCAGCAGCCGCGGUAAUACGUAGGGUGCAAGCGUUAAUCGGAAUUACUGGGCGUAAAGCGUGCGCAGGCGGUUUGCUAAGACCGAUGUGAAAUCCCCGGGCUCAACCUGGGAACUGCAUUGGUGACUGGCAGGCUAGAGUAUGGCAGAGGGGGGUAGAAUUCCACGUGUAGCAGUGAAAUGCGUAGAGAUGUGGAGGAAUACCGAUGGCGAAGGCAGCCCCCUGGGCCAAAUACUGACGCUCAUGCACGAAAAGGCGUGGGGGAGCAAAACAGGAUUAGAUACCCCUGGUAGUCCACGCCCUAAAAUCGAUGUCAACUAGUUGUUGGGGAUUCAUUUCCUUAGUAACGUA
rnacentral:rRNA from 1 species